GUGGAUUAACCGGUGAGAAACAUGCAGAGAAAACGUUACAGCAUUUAUAAUCCCUUCCUUUCUCUGUUCCCAACAGGCAUACCGACGAGCCUAGAGAGAAAAACAUGCCCUACUACGCCAAGGCCGAGCUUACAGCACCAAAAUGAUGACCUUAAAUCAGCAUCACCAACAACCACAAGUGCUCUGCACCAAGACAGCAAAAGUCCAUGGUUCAGCGCCCCCAUGGUGGGUUUGGUAUCAAGAAGCUGUGAGCCCUUUUUUGGCCAAUCCAUGUAUCAAUCAGCAUGAACAGAAUUCAAGCCAGGCAUUUAUGAAUGUCUGGACAAGACGCAAGUGGGUGGACUUGAAAUAUAGUGGCUUGCUCUCCCCAUAGCCACACUCCCAACAUCUGUUCCCACAGAGGUCCUGUCCUUGUUGUUCCAAAAGAAAGAUCCUCAGACCCUACCUCUUUGUAGCAGAGCAACUCUGACUCCACAGAUGGAAUUUAGUGCACAUAUUGGUCGCAGCUAAAUCUACAACUCUGUGGCCUGUUUGUUUAUGUCCAGAU